GAUGAACGCUGGCGGCGUGCCUAAUACAUGCAAGUCGAACGAAAGGACCCGGAGUUUGCUUGUCUGUUGUUAGCGGAGGACGGGAGAGUCACGUGUGUAUACUCUACCUAUCAGACUGGGAUCAUUUCGGGACACCGGAGCUUAUCGCGUAUAAUCUUUUGCACCGCAUGGGUCAUAAGUGAGAGUCGGUGUUUCUGUAACUAAUAGCUGGAUACGCGCUGCAUUAGCUGGUUGGGAAGGUAAACGCUUACCAAGGCAAGGAGGCAUAGCCGGCCUGAGAGAGUGGUCGGCCACACUGGAACUGAGACGCGGUCCUGACUCCUACGGUAGGCAGCAGUAGGGAAUCGUCCGCAAUGGGCGAAAGCCUGACGGAGCAACGCGGCGUGAGAUAUGAAGAUCUUCGGAUCGUAAAACUCUGUUAUUAGGGAAGAACAUAUGUGGAAGUAACCGUGCACAUCUUGACGGUACCUGAUCAAAAAGCCCCGGCUAACUACGUG
rnacentral:rRNA from 1 species